AUUGAACGCUGGCGGCAUGCUUUACACAUGCAAGUCAUACGGAAGUUAGUUUCGGCUAACUUCAGUGGCGGACGGGUGAGUAACACGUGAGAAUUCGCCUUUAGGAGGGGGAUAACAGGGGGAAACACCUGCUAAAACCCCAUAUGCCUUCGGGUCAAAAGAGAAAUCUGCCUAAAGAGAAGCUCGCGGCUGAUUAGCUAGUUGGUGGGGUAAAGGCAUACCAAGGCGACGAUCAGUAGCUGGUCUAAGAGGAUGAUCAGCCACACUGGAACUGAGACACGGUCCAGACUCCUACGGGAGGCAGCAGUGAGGAAUUUUCUGCAAUGGGCGAAAGCCUGACAGAGCAAUACCGCGUGAGGGAAGAAGGCUUACUGAGUUGUAAACCUCUGUUACCUAAGGAGGAAGAUCUGACGUUACUUAGGAGACGAAGCAUCGGCUAACUCCGUGCCAGCAGCCGCGGUAA
rnacentral:rRNA from 1 species